rnacentral:rRNA from 2 species
GGUUCCCAAUUAUUGAAAGGUGCUUGCAUCUUGAUUUAAUUUUGAACGAGUGGCGGACGGGUGAGUAACACGUGGGUAACCUGCCCUUAAGUGGGGGAUAACAUUUGGAAACAGAUGCUAAUACCGCAUAAAUCCAAGAACCGCAUGGUUCUUGGCUGAAAGAUGGCGUAAGCUAUCGCUUUUGGAUGGACCCGCGGCGUAUUAGCUAGUUGGUGAGGUAACGGCUCACCAAGGCAAUGAUACGUAGCCGAACUGAGAGGUUGAUCGGCCACAUUGGGACUGAGACACGGCCCAAACUCCUACGGGAGGCAGCAGUAGGGAAUCUUCCACAAUGGACGCAAGUCUGAUGGAGCAACGCCGCGUGAGUGAAGAAGGCUUUCGGGUCGUAAAACUCUGUUGUUGGAGAAGAAUGGUCGGCAGAGUAACUGUUGUCGGCGUGACGGUAUCCAACCAGAAAGCCACGGCUAACUACGUGCCAGCAGCCGCGGUAAUACGUAGGUGGCAAGCGUUAUCCGGAUUUAUUGGGCGUAAAGCGAGCGCAGGCGGUUUUUUAAGUCUGAUGUGAAAGCCCUCGGCUUAACCGAGGAAGUGCAUCGGAAACUGGGAAACUUGAGUGCAGAAGAGGACAGUGGAACUCCAUGUGUAGCGGUGAAAUGCGUAGAUAUAUGGAAGAACACCAGUGGCGAAGGCGGCUGUCUGGUCUGUAACUGACGCUGAGGCUCGAAAGCAUGGGUAGCGAACAGGAUUAGAUACCCUGGUAGUCCAUGCCGUAAACGAUGAAUGCUAGGUGUUGGAGGGUUUCCGCCCUUCAGUGCCGCAGCUAACGCAUUAAGCAUUCCGCCUGGGGAGUACGACCGCAAGGUUGAAACUCAAAGGAAUUGACGGGGGCCCGCACAAGCGGUGGAGCAUGUGGUUUAAUUCGAAGCAACGCGAAGAACCUUACCAGGUCUUGACAUCUUUUGAUCACCUGAGAGAUCAGGUUUCCCCUUCGGGGGCAAAAUGACAGGUGGUGCAUGGUUGUCGUCAGCUCGUGUCGUGAGAUGUUGGGUUAAGUCCCGCAACGAGCGCAACCCUUAUGACUAGUUGCCAGCAUUUAGUUGGGCACUCUAGUAAGACUGCCGGUGACAAACCGGAGGAAGGUGGGGAUGACGUCAAAUCAUCAUGCCCCUUAUGACCUGGGCUACACACGUGCUACAAUGGAUGGUACAACGAGUUGCGAGACCGCGAGGUCAAGCUAAUCUCUUAAAGCCAUUCUCAGUUCGGACUGUAGGCUGCAACUCGCCUACACGAAGUCGGAAUCGCUAGUAAUCGCGGAUCAGCACGCCGCGGUGAAUACGUUCCCGGGCCUUGUACACACCGCCCGUCACACCAUGAGAGUUUGUAACACCCGAAGCCGGUGGCGUAUCCCUCCA